ACCAGUGUGGUGGUACAGACUGGGAAGGCUGAGGGUUAUAUGGACCAGUGUGGUGGUACAGACUGGGAAGGCUGAGGGUUAUAUAGACCAGUGUGGUGGUACAGACUGGGAAGGCUGAGGGUUAUAUAGACCAGUGUGGUGGUACAGACUGGGAAGGCUGAGGGUUAUAUGGACCAGUGUGGUGGUACAGACUGGGAAGGCUGAGGGUUAUAUGGACCAGUGUGGUGGUACAGACUGGGAAGGCUGAGGGUUAUAUGGACCAGUGUGGUGGUACAGACUGGGAAGGCUGAGGGUUAUAUGGACCAGUGUGGUGGUACAGACUGGGAAGGCUGAGGGUUAUAUGGACCAGUGUGGUGGUACAGACUGGGAAGGCUGAGGGUUAUAUGGACCAGUGUGGUGGUACAGACUGGGAAGGCUGAGGGUUAUAUGGACCAGUGUGGUGGUACAGACUGGGAAGGCUGAGGGUUAUAUGGACCAGUGUGGUGGUACAGACUGGGAAGGCUGAGGGUUAUAUGGACCAGUGUGGUGGUACAGACUGGGAAGGCUGAGGGUUAUAUGGACCAGUGUGGUGGUACAGACUGGGAAGGCUGAGGGUUAUAUAGACCAGUGUGGUGGCAC